rnacentral:rRNA from 1 species
GCACAAGCGGCGGAGCAUGCGGAUUAAUUCGAUGCAACGCGAAGAACCUUACCAAGGCUUGACAUACACCGGUAACGCCCAGAGAUGGGUGCCCCUUGUUGGUCGGUGUACAGGUGGUGCAUGGUUGUCGUCAGCUCGUGUCGUGAGAUGUUGGGUUAAGUCCCGCAACGAGCGCAACCCUCGUCCUAUGUUGCCAGCGGGUCAUGCCGGGGACUCAUGGGAGACUGCCGGGGUCAACUCGGAGGAAGGUGGGAUGACGUCAAAUCAUCAUGCCCCUUAUGUCUUGGGCUUCACGCAUGCUACAAUGGCCGGUACAAAGGGCUGCGAUACCGCGAGGUGGAGCGAAUCCCAGAAAGCCGGUCUCAGUUCGGAUUGGGGUCUGCAACUCGACCCCAUGAAGUCGGAGUCGCUAGUAAUCGCAGAUCAGCAACGCUGCGGUGAAUACGUUCCCGGGCCUU